rnacentral:rRNA from 1 species
CACGUAGGGCGCAAGCGUUGUCCGGAAUUAUUGGGCGUAAAGAGCUCGUAGGCGGUCUGUUGCGUCCGCUGUGAAAACUCGGGGCUUAACCCCGAGCCUGCAGUGGAUACGGGCAGACUAGAGGUAGGUAGGGGAGAAUGGAAUUCCCGGUGUAGCGGUGAAAUGCGCAGAUAUCGGGAGGAACACCGGUGGCGAAGGCGGCCUGCUGGGCUAUGGCUGACACUGAGGCGCGACAGCGUGGGGAGCAAACAGG